GGGGACGUUUCUGGAUUCGACGGGGAUAGUUCGAGCAUAGGUAGCGGGUAGUGGGGACGCGACCGCUUUAUCAACGCUAAAGCCUAUUAAAUGGCAAACAACAACAACCUGCUCUUUUAGCAGCCUAAGAAACUGCUGGAGCGCUCCUACCUUCCAUCGCCCAUGUGGCGGGAUAGGGGCUCAACCUUUAGUGGGAUACGCUGUCUAGUCUCCGCCUGCGGCUAGCUGAAGAAGACAACCAGGCUGACCCAACGCAGAGCCGGUUACGGGGCGCUGCUCGGGUGACAUCAAAACUGUGACUACACCCGUAGAAGCCUAUGUGGCGUUAUCUUCGGACAGGGGUUCGACUCCCCUCGUCUCCAUAA
rnacentral:tmRNA from 1 species